GGUUCUCUGUGCCACUACUGCUCAUUCUGCAAGCACUGCGGUGACUGUGAGAAGUGUCCCUGUGAAGAGAAUGAUAAGAGUGAGCACUGUAAAAACUGUGAGUACUGCAAGUUUUGCUACGUGUGUCCAGUUAUAUGUGAGACAGCCUGCAAGCCCGGAAGCUACAUAGAUGAAAUUUCAGGAGCAGUGUAUCAGACUGUCACCAACAUAUUUGAAUAAAAGGAAAA